rnacentral:rRNA from 1 species
AGAGUUUGAUCCUGGCUCAGGAUAAACGCUGGCGGCGUGCCUAAUACAUGCGAGUCGAUCGAGAGCGGAGCAAUCCGCGAAAGAGGCGAACGGGUGAGUAAUACAUAAGCAACCUGGCCACAAAGACGGGGAUAACACCUGGAAACGGGCGCUAAUACCGGAUAAGUGAAGGUGGGGCAUCCCACCAUCAUAAAAGGGAGAGAAACGCGAGUGGAUGGGCUUAUGGUGCAUUAGUUAGUUGGCGGGAUAAAGGCCCACCAAGACGAUGAUGCAUAGCCGGACUGAGAGGUUGAACGGCCACAUUGGGACUGAGACACGGCCCAGACUCCUACGGGAGGCAGCAGUAGGGAAUUUUCGGCAAUGGGGGGAACCCUGACCGAGCAACGCCGCGUGAGUGAAGAAGUUUUUCGGAAUGUAAAGCUCUGUUGUAAGGGAAGAAGAGAUAUGGAGGACCAUAUUGUGACGGUACCUUACGAGGAAGCCACGGCUAACUACGUGCCAGCAGCCGCGGUAAUACGUAGGUGGCGAGCGUUAUCCGGAAUUAUUGGGCGUAAAGGGUGCGUAGGCGGCCGUUUAAGUUCAAGGUGAAAGCGUGGGGCUCAACCCCAUAAAGCCUUGGAUACUGGGCGGCUGGAGUACUGGAGAGGGUAGUGGAAUUCCAUGUGUAGCGGUAAAAUGCGUAGAUAUAUGGAGGAACACCGGAGGCGAAGGCGGCUACCUGGACAGUAACUGACGCUGAGGCACGAAAGCGUGGGGAGCAAAUAGGAUUAGAUACCCUAGUAGUCCACGCCGUAAACGAUGAAUACUAAAUGUCGGGGAAACCCGGUGUUGGAACAAACGCAAUAAGUAUUCCGCCUGUGGAGUAUGCACGCAAGUGUGAAACAUAAAGGAAUUGACGGGGGCCCGCACAAGCGGUGGAGUAUGUGGUUUAAUUCGACGCAACGCGAAGAACCUUACCAGGCCUUGACAUCCCCUGCGAAGCUGUAGAGAUACAGCGUGAGGAUAUCAGGGAGACAGGUGGUGCAUGGUUGUCGUCAGCUCGUGUCGUGAGAUGUUGGGUUAAGUCCCGCAACGAGCGCAACCCUUGUCUUCAGUUACCAUCAUCAAGUUGGGGACUCUGAAGAGACUGCCGGUGAUAAACCGGAGGAAGGCGGGGAUGACGUCAAAUCAUCAUGCCUCUUAUGGCCUGGGCUACACACGUACUACAAUGGCAGAUACAACGAGCGGCGACACUGUGAAGUGAAGCAAAUCUCUGAAAAUCUGUCUCAGUUCGGAUUGAAGUCUGCAACCCGACUUCAUGAAGCCGGAAUCGCUAGUAAUCGCGGAUCAGAAUGCCGCGGUGAAUACGUUCUCGGGCCUUGUACACACCGCCCGUCAUACCAUGAGAGUCGGCAAUACCCGAAGCCGGCAGCCUAACCGAAAGGGAGGAGCCGUCGAAGGCAGGGCCGAUGAUUGGGGUCAAGUCGUAACAAGGUAACC